UGAGAUGAUGAGCUUGGCCGCUUCCCGAGUGGUGAGGGUCUAAACUCCGGUGCUGAUG
rfam:Pyrococcus furiosus DSM 3638, complete genome.